rnacentral:rRNA from 1 species
UUGGAGGGCAAGUCUGGUGCCAGCAGCCGCGGUAAUUCCAGCUCCAAUAGCGUAUAUUAAAGUUGUUGCAGUUAAAAAGCUCGUAGUUGAAUUUCGGGGUCAGUAGGUUGGUCAUGCCACUGGUAUGUACUGGUCUCACUGAUUCCUCCUUCCUGAUGAGCCGUAAUGCCAUUAAUUUGGUGUUGCGAGGAAUCUGGACUGUUACUUUGAAAAAAUUAGAGUGUUUAAAGCAAGCUAACGCUUGAAUACGUUAGCAUGGAAUAAUGAAAUAGGACGUUCGAUUCUAUUUUGUUGGUUUCUAGGAUUGACGUAAUGAUUAAUAGGGAUAGUUGGGGGCAUUAGUAUUCAAUUGUCAGAGGUGAAAUUCUUGGAUUUAUUGAAGACUAACUACUGCGAAAGCAUUUGCCAAGGAUGUUUUCAUUAAUCAAGAACGAAAGUUAGGGGAUCGAAGACGAUCAGAUACCGUCGUAGUCUUAACCAUAAACUAUGCCGACUAGGAAUCAGACGAUGUUAAUUUUUUAAUGACUCGUUUGGCACCUUACGGGAAACCAAAGUGUUUGGGUUC